AAGAGAGCUAAAAUGGCGGAGGUUGGGAGUCCCUGCUUUGACCCUGUUUGCAAACUCUUGUUUCAUUGUUUAAGCGAUUAAAUCUCUCGAGUAGACGCUGUCUCUUUAGAUGCAAGGGCAAAAUAGCACUUUAUGGACUAACACAGAGGACAUCAUGUUUAAUACGGUUCCGGAAAAAUCCAGUCAGAAGUUGUUCACGGAGUUUUCACAAUAACUGCUUCUCAUGAACCAAAGCUGCGCGACGUCUCCUCCUGAAAGUUGGAUUACCGUGCACUUCUGGAUCACAGGCUAUUCGCAGCUGGACACAUCCUUCUACACUGUAUGCAAACAUGCAACAUCAUUACACACAGUACAAGGCAUAUGAGGAGCAAAGGAACCCAGGCAGUAGCAUCGUUUCACAAUGUUUCAAUCACCAUCAUCAGUGGAUGCCUUUGCCGUCCGUAGCCUGAGAUUUCAGAUUUGCAGCAAAAAAUGUGACUUUCCCAUUUAUUGGAAUGCUGUGCAGGUUGUACCUUGCAGCCAUCCAUUACAAUGUCACCAAGCCAUAACAAAAGCAGGAGAGGGAAAGUACAAGGCUAUGUUCCCAAAACACACAAGUGACAUACUGUAAGCAGUAAUGUUUUAUUUCAAAUACAUUCAUAAUUAAAAACUUAAUGUAUGAAGCAGGGAAAUAAAUUAUCAAAACAAAAGAUUUAUUGACUGCAAUAUUUGUACAGUUAUGUGGA